CUUAGCUCUAAGGCCUUCAGGUCCUGGGCUAUAUGACAGAGAUUUCAAGAAACUCCCACAGUCUGCCAUCAAAUAUCCCCCAGAACCAUGCAUGCAUGGAACUGAAGGGAAGCCACAGAGGAAAGCCGUUUCCAAAAACUGAAGUAUAUGUUUUAUUAACAAAUUAAAUCAAACUAACCCUGCAAUGCUCACCACUGAAAAACUCAAAGUACAAAAGAAUCCUCCUCAUGUGGCAAAUCUUUACAGUGAACAAGAGCAUUAUCCCAUAUCAGAACAUGCGGCCUGGAACUAAGGCCUGGCCUGGGACUGGCUUUGCCACCUCCUCACAGGCGAUCUUGGGUCUCCAACUUACUGUAUAACUGGGCCUGAGGAUUACUUCAAACUGUGACUCCCCUGACUCCACCUGAAUGCUGGGACUACCUGUGGCCAUGUGCCUGGUUUCUGUGGUUCUGGGUCUCAAGGCCCAGGCUUCAUGUACGUUGGGCAAGCAUCCUACAAACUGAACUACAGGCCCACUCUCCUUUACUUCUAAGAUUCUUAUAAAUGGCAUUUUCAAAUGAUCUGCUAGCGAGAGGAAGCUAACAGACACACAGUUGGAAUCAGGGUCUUGGGAGUUAGUGCCUGUGUCUCUGACUUCUCUACUGGCUUACUGUGUGAUGUUGGUCAAAGCAAUUAACCUCUCUGGGGCUCAGGCCCUCCAUCAUUUUUGUUUCACAAAAGGUGAAUACUGUUGUUGGCUGAUCUGUAGGGCAUGGCUAAGAUGAACAAGCUGGCCCUUGAGAAAAGAAAUAAAGGUCUCAGAGACGUUGCCUGAAGGUGGUAGAAAAGUAGAAUACAGCUUCUACUUACUCCUUUGGCCACUCAUUCUGGCUCGUUCUCAGGACUGACAUUUGUAAUCUGCAAUGCCACGAUAACUUGGCUUGUUACUCAAAAAUAUUGCAAGCAAAUAUUAGCUCAGGAUAAUGCAACAUGAGCAGCACAGAGGCCAGUUUACCCAGAAAAAGAAAAAUCUCACCAUGUUUUCAGAUGAUAGUGUGUGAUUGCUUCCAGAAUCAUGCAUAAGUCCCAAUUUUGUGGCAGCAAGAAUAUGUCCUGAGAAAUUAAGGCCUGGGGUGCGGGGUGGAGGUGAGGGGUGGGGGUAGGGAUAGUCCAGGCCAGCUCUGUGUCUGUGCAUUGUCCAGUUUGCUGAAAAUUGUCCACACUGAUAAAGUGCUUGUUAGAGAAACAGGGACUAAAUUUAUUGUUGGCAUUUGGGGAGCCAAUUUCCAUGUUGUACUGCUGAAACUCAGAGCUGGGGACGAGUGCUUGAAGCCAAAACUGGCUUUGUGGCUCUGCUUGCUGCAGCUCAGCACCACCUGCCUCCAAUCAAACUGUCCAAUUACAGGAGAAGAUUGGUUUUUUUUUUUUUUCUUCCCCCACUUUCUGGGAAGGGAAGAAAUUCAUCCAGGAAUGGACCGAUUUCUAAAUGUUUUCUCUCCCACCCCGUAAAAAGAAGCGGUGUCAUGGAAGAUAAGAAAACCUAACAAAUCCAAACAAACAAACAGUGUGGAGGAGAAAGUGCCCCCUCGUGCACCACGUCCAAGGUUCAAAACUCAGAAUGUUGCCGUCCACAUGCUUCUGUGUUUUUGGCCACCGCCUUCAGAUCUAUAAUUACCUCUGCUAAUAAAGUUAUUAGCCGUUCAGAAAGAAGGCAUCUCUUUUUUAACACGCAAGGCAAUAAUUAAAGGCUGCAGAUUUCACAGGUGAAAUCUUGCAGAAAGUAUUGGGUUUGAAGUCAAAGAAUUUAGCAAUCCACUCCAACAUAAUUACACUUUUUUUU
ensembl:lncRNA